rnacentral:rRNA from 1 species
CCUACGGGAGGCAGCAGUGGGGAAUAUUGGGCAAUGGGCGCAAGCCUGACCCAGCAACGCCGCGUGAAGGAAGAAGGCUUUCGGGUUGUAAACUUCUUUUCUCAGGGACGAAGAAAGUGACGGUACCUGAGGAAUAAGCCACGGCUAACUACGUGCCAGCAGCCGCGGUAAUACGUAGGUGGCAAGCGUUAUCCGGAUUUACUGGGUGUAAAGGGCGUGUAGGCGGGAAAGCAAGUCAGAUGUGAAAACCAUGGGCUCAACCUGUGGCCUGCAUUUGAAACUGUUUUUCUUGAGUACUGGAGAGGCAGACGGAAUUCCUCGUGUAGCGGUGAAAUGCGUAGAUAUGAGGAGGAACACCAGUGGCGAAGGCGGUCUGCUGGGCAGCAACUGACGCUGAGGCGCGAAAGCGUGGGGAGCAAACAGGAUUAGAUACCCUUGUAGUC